AUUCUUUUUUAAGAGACAAUCUACACAAGCAAGCAGAUAAAAUAUAGAACACUCUCCAAAAGUCAACAAUGUAUGAAGAAAUUGCAAGGCUUGGAGAUACACUGUGGGAACUGGAGUAAUAAAUGUGCUGGAUCCCAAAUUUUCUAAGAAGCAAAUGAACACAGAAACCAAAAUCCUUUGGAAAACUAGCAGGAACUGAAUGUCUUCUUGGGUGCUGCUGAAUAGUUUUCUCCACUCUUCUAACACUUCUAAACUGACGUAUAUGUUGUGCCCCUCCAUCAAAGCUAGAUGAGCAGCAUCCCUUCAUCAGUGGUCAAUGCAUUAUUGAAUAGUAAAAGU